UCAUUUGUGUGAUACGAGAUCUUCCCAGUACCUCCCAUAUACGUGAGUGUGGUGUUUAGAGAGAUGUGGAGUAGUCACUGAAGAUAGUGAGCAAAGCAUUUCCUCCUUCGUGAUUUUUGCAGACCUCCUCCUGCCAUACGCAUUGGGCAGUGUUGUAAGGAACUGUUCAAGGAAAGGAGAAGAGCAAACAAACUCCACAUAAUUUAAACUGUCACCCAGCAAUUGUCCUGCACAGAAGCUGAAGGAAUGUGACAUUCUGGUACCACGGGCCUUGACGGUGAACUCGGACCCGGAGAGACCUCUCCAAGAAUACGCUUAAUCAGUGCUCCUCCGAGGAGUUUUGACAUUCUCAUUUGCCUUGUUGCUUAUGCCACUCUAAAUUAGAAGAUGAACUCCUACUGAAGUUGGAGUAACUUCUUCAUCACCGUUACGUGGGAAUAGAAUUAGGCUUGUGACUUUUGAUUUAAAAAUAAAUAAAAAUGUGAAAGCUUUUUGCUCUGUGAUUCCUAGUGAAACCGAUGGAAAAAUCUGUGGGUUCAGUCAGGACAGGGACUUCAGAAGGAGACCUAGGGAACUCUUUGAGCAUCCUUACUCCACCAGUGACCUUGUUAACCAUUCUGCAAGUGGAUGUUGGCCUGCUGUCCACUGUAGACCUCGCUUUUCUUACUUCUGGAAACUUACAACUUUCCAAUAUUUUGCAAUGAAGAGUACUUAGAGGCUGUGUUAAUGACAAAAUAAUUUUAUUUUUGUGAUGGCCACACGUGAAAUAUCUGUCCACACUUGAGAACUACAGCUAUGGAUACAAAGCUAUACAGUUUGAGGUCUUUGGUUUAAUCUGUUGUGCUAUUGAGUUAAGGCACUCUUGGCUAGAUGUGCUGGACUUUCUACUGCUGUGCUCUUUUUGGAAUUGCUUGUAGCUACGUAGAGUAAAUGUAAGCAGGUUUAAAACGGGGGAAAAAAAAGGUAAAAAAUAUCCACUUAGCACUGUCUGAAAAUAACACAAGCUACAAAAAUAAUUUGACCCCUGAUUUCUCUUGGAGCAUAAAUUCAGAAACCUGUACCAUCUGCUGCUUUGUUCUUUGUGUAGGAACUUCAGACACUUAGAUGUGCAAUCUUCGCUGUAAACUAUAUUAAAAUACCAGUAUAAAUGUUUAAAAACCCUAUUCACAUAAGAGCAGUGAUUCAGCAGUCUGAAGUUUCUGUAUGUGUGUAUAACAUGGUUGCAAUCACUCAAUGGUAACACUCUAAUGAUGCAGAUAAAUUGUACUUGCUCAUCUCUCUGUAUAUACAUUUAUAUUUCUUCUCUGCUGUGCACAAUUUUAGCACCCAAUUUAUCAACCUCAAUUACAGGGGUAGAACUUGAUCUUUUCCUGCAUCACUUCUGUAUGCAGCCAGAUGGGUGCAUUGGCUGCCAUGUUUUUUAAAAACUAAAAACACUCAGCAGCCCAUCUGGAAUCUUGGUUGGCGUUAGCUAACGCCAGCAUCGAGCAGAGAUUCCAGAUAUGUGCCAGCAGCAACACAUUUCCCACUUUGAGUUGAAAAAGGAAAAAAAAAAAAAAAAAAAAGUAAUUUUCAGUUCUUGAGUUAAAAGUUAAGACUGAAUCAAAAACUGUUAGUUCCAGAAAUACAAAUGCUUUCUGAAAUAUCUGAGGACUUGCUUCAAAUGUGCUGAAAACCCUGCAGCUACCACCGUUCUGAAAGUGUGCUUGUGCUGCACUUGAACUGGGUUGCAGCGUAUGCAGGCAUUUCACAUCAUAGCUCUCAUGUAGCUGGCACAUGUGCCAUGAAGCAUGAACCUUGGUAGUUUGGGCUCCCACAUAGAACAUGUUAACCCGGCAGGAAAUCUGGCUACAACUUUGGGUAGCUUUCCCAACGAAAAAAAGACUAGUUUCAAGUGAGGUGGAGUGUGCCUGAAAAAUCUGACCUGCUCAAAUUACUGAUGGCACAUACCGGAGUUGUUGAGUUGAUGCAGUGUGUGUAUGGAGAGUAAGAGUGCAGGGGGAUAUGGGUGGGAAUCCUCCCCCAGUUAACCCCCACCUCCCCAACCAGCAUCUUGCAUUUAGGGUUGGUGUUAUGUGAUUAUCUUGGACGCUGCCUGUAUGAAUGGGGAAAAAAUAACUCAUACCUGGAUUAAAAAAAAAUUAAAUGUAAGGAAUGCUAUUUGGUUAUAGUUAAUUGCUGUAGAAAGAUACGUGGCACGAGUGGGAAACACUCCAGAAUCUAGUUCUGAUUUUUUUGUGCACGUAUUACUCUCGCUUCUUGUA